UGAGCUGGCAAGUUGGUUACAAAAGAAAGGGAAAGGAAGCUGAGAGGGGGCGGCCUGGAGCUCGGAAAUGCGGGGAGUCGGGGGCCAAGGGCUUGAACCAGGAGGUCCCGGAGCAGCAGCUGCCCCGCUCCCCACGCCGCCGCCUCCUCCUCAGAGGUUGCCUGGACACCGGUGCCUGCUCAAUCAAGUCAAAUACUGAACAGCUUCCUAGAGGAGAGGCUGAGAAUUUAAAGCACCCCAAAUAAGAUGAUCCACUCCAACACCUCCCCUUUAAAGGUGAGAAAAAUGAUGUUUACAGCUGAUUUAUGAUUUGACCAAAGUCAGAU
rnacentral:lncRNA from 1 species